AACGCGAAGAACCUUACCUGGGCUUGACAUCCACAGAACUUUCCAGAGAUGGAUUGGCGCCUUCGGGAACUGUGAGACAGGUGCUGCAUGGCUGUCGUCCGCUCGUGUUGUGAAAUGUUGGGUUAAGUCCCGCAACGAGCGCAACCCUUAUCCUUUGUUGCCAGCGAUCCGGCCGGGAACUCAAAGGAGACUGCCAGUGAUAAACUGGAGGAAGGUGGGGAUGACGUCAAGUCGUCAUGGCCCUUACGACCAGGGCUACACACGUGCUACAAUGGCGCAUACAAAGAGAAGCGACCUCGCGAGAGCAAGCGGACCUCAUAAAGUGCGUCGUAGUCCGGAUUGGAGUCUGCAACUCGACUCCAUGAAGUCGGAAUCGCUAGUAAUCGUGGAUCAGAAUGCCACGGUGAAUAAAGUUCCCGGGUCUUGUACACACGC
rnacentral:rRNA from 1 species